rnacentral:rRNA from 1 species
CCUACGGGUGGCAGCAGUGGGGAAUAUUGCACAAUGGGCGCAAGCCUGAUGCAGCCAUGCCGCGUGUGUGAAGAAGGCCUUCGGGUUGUAAAGCACUUUCAGCGGGGAGGAAGGCGUUAAGGUUAAUAACCUUGGCGAUUGACGUUACCCGCAGAAGAAGCACCGGCUAACUCCGUGCCAGCAGCCGCGGUAAUACGGAGGGUGCAAGCGUUAAUCGGAAUUACUGGGCGUAAAGCGCACGCAGGCGGUCUGUCAAGUCGGAUGUGAAAUCCCCGGGCUCAACCUGGGAACUGCAUUCGGAACUGGCAGGCUAGAGUCUUGUAGAGGGGGGUAGAAUUCCAGGUGUAGCGGUGAAAUGCGUAGAGAUCUGGAGGAAUACCGGUGGCGAAGGCGGCCCCCUGGACAAAGACUGACGCUCAGGUGCGAAAGCGUGGGGAGCAAACAGGAUUAGAUACCCGAGUAGUC